UGCAAAAGCUGAUCGGGCUCGGCCCGAUCCUCCCACCCUUUGUGUACCUACCUCUGUUGCUUUGGCGGGCCGCGGUCCUCCGCGGCCGCCCCCCUCCCCGGGGGGGUGGCCAGCGCCCGCCAGAGGACCAUCAAACUCCAGUCAGUAAACGAUGCAGUCUGAAAAACAUUUAAUAAACUAAAACUUUCAACAACGGAUCUCUUGGUUCUGGCAUCGAUGAAGAACGCAGCGAAAUGCGAUAAGUAAUGUGAAUUGCAGAAUUCAGUGAAUCAUCGAAUCUUUGAACGCACAUUGCGCCCUUUGGUAUUCCGAAGGGCAUGCCUGUUCGAGCGUCAUUACAACCCUCAAGCUCUGCUUGGUAUUGGGCACCGUCCUUUGCGGGCGCGCCUCAAAGACCUCGGCGGUGGCGUCUUGCCUCAAGCGUAGUAGAACAUACAUCUCGCUUCGGAGCGCAGGGCGUCGCCCGCCGGACGAACCUUCUGAACUUUUCUCAAGGUUGACCUCGGAUCAGGUAGGGAUACCCGCUGAACUUAAGCAUAUCAUAAGACGGGAAGGAA
rnacentral:rRNA from 1 species